rnacentral:rRNA from 1 species
CACGUAGGGGGCGAGCGUUGUCCGGAUUUAUUGGGCGUAAAGAGCUCGUAGGCGGUCUGUCGCGUCGAAUGUGAAAACCCGGGGCUCAACCCCGGGCCUGCAUUCGAUACGGGCAGACUAGAGUUCGGUAGGGGAGUCUGGAAUUCCUGGUGUAGCGGUGAAAUGCGCAGAUAUCAGGAGGAACACCGGUGGCGAAGGCGGGACUCUGGGCCGAUACUGACGCUGAGGAGCGAAAGCGUGGGGAGCGAACAGG